rnacentral:rRNA from 1 species
ACCUAUUUGAAAAAUAGGGUCGGUUCGGCCGGAUUUCACACAGGUGUUGCAUGGCUGUCGUCAGCUCGUGUCGUGAGAUGUUGGGUUAAGUCCCGCAACGAGCGUAACCCUCAUCCUUAGUUGCCAUCAGGUAAUGCUGAGCACUUUAAGGAAACUGCUAGUGAUAAACUGGAGGAAGGUGGGGAUGAUGUCAAGUCAUCAUGGCCCUUAUGGAGUGGGCUACACACGUGCUACAAUGGUGGCUACAAUGGGCUGCAAAGUCGCGAGGCCAAGCUAAUCCCUUAAAAGCCAUCUCAGUUCGGAUUGUACUCUGCAACUCGAGUGCAUGAAGUUGGAAUCGCUAGUAAUCGUGGAUCAGCAUGCCACGGUGAAUACGUUCUCGGGUCUUGUACACACUGCCCGUCACGCCAUGGGAAUUGGUUUCACUCGAAGCUAAUGACCUAACCGCAAGGAGGGAGUUAUUUAAAGUGGGAUCAGUGACUGGGGUGAAGUCGUAACAAGGUAAGCGUAGUGCU